GUYUUUUUGUUAAAAAUUUAAAGUCGGGCCUGCCCCCUGAAAUUUUAAAUGGCCGUGGUAUUUUGACCGUGCUAAGGUAGCAUAAUCAUUAGUUUUUUAAUUGAAAGCUGGAAUGAAAGGUUUGAUAAAAAAAUAACUGUCUCUAUUUAAUUUCAUUAAAAUUUUAUUUUUAAGUUCAAAAGCUUAAAUAAAAUUAAAAGACGAGAAGACCCUAUAGAGUUUAAUAUUAUAAUAUAAUUUUUAUUUUUGAAUUAAAUUAUUUAUUUUUUUAUAUUAUUUAGUUGGGGUGAUUGAAAAAUUUAAUUAACUUUUUUUAUAUUUUACCAUUAAUUUAUGAUAAUUUGAUCCAAUUUUUUUGAUUAUAAGAUAAAAUUACCUUAGGGAUAACAGCGUAAUUUUUUUAUAAAGUUCAAAUUAAAAAAAAAGAUUGCGACCUCGAUGUUGGAUUAAAAUUAAAUUUUGGUGUAGAAGCUAAAAAUUUAAGUCUGUUCGACUUUUAAAAUUUUACA
rnacentral:rRNA from 1 species